CCCUUAGAUGUUCUGGGCUGCACGCGUGCUACACUGAUAUUGCCAAUAUGUCAUUCUUAUCCGAAAUGGAUUGGGUAAUCAAGUAAUGAAAUUUCAUGCUUGGAAUCGGUAAUUGCAAUUUUAUCGUGAACGAGGAAUUCCUAGUAAGCACUAGUCAUCAGCUAAUGUUGAUUAUGUCCCUGCCCUUUGUACACACCGCCCGUCGCUACUACUGAUUGGGUUUUCAAGUGAGAUGCUUAGACCCUUGUUGCAUGGUUCAUUAUUGUGCUCCGAAAGGAAAAAGUUUCAAGCUUGAGUGUCUAGAGGAAGUAAAAGUCGUAACA
rnacentral:rRNA from 1 species